ACUAAGUGCCAGGACCAUAAACUGAACACAAGCUAGAUCAAUCUGGAUACAAUACUACUGCAAUAACCACACAAUAUGAAUGGGUUGUCAAUACUACAAUAGUGAUAUUACCAUUGCUUCCUAUUGGAUGAAUAGAGGAAUUCUAAAGAGAGUUUACACUUCUAAUAAAACCCUUUCUGCUCAGUGGUCCCGUUUUUUUGUAGCUCAGAGGUGGCGACCCUAAAGGUAUUAUAGCUUUAACAAAUGUGCACUAUAAUCACUUUUAAAUUAGAACAGCUUUUACUAUGACUUUCAACUGACCUGAAAUAGCUCCUUAACAGAUAUCACAGUGUUUGAUUUCACCAUUGUUUUAACCAUCUUUAUCAAUAUGUUACUGCUGGCAGUAAACAGGAAUUUCUUAGGAGCAGAUUACUUGUUUACAGUCAUAUACUCCGUGGAAAUGAUUAUUAAGGUGCUGGCUCAAGGAUUUGCCUUUCACAAAUUUGCAUACCUAAAAAAUGCAUGGAACUGGUUGGACUUCACAGUAAUCCUACUAGCCUACCUGACCCUGGCGUUCCCUUUUCUACCCGGACUGUCAGCUCUGAGAGCUUUCAGAGCGCUGAAGAUGAUAGCAAUCCUUCCAGGUGAGCUCAACCCUGCAAUGCCCAUUUCUGUGUCACAUGUCAUACAAUGCUUAACCACCCCUCAUUAUUAAUAUUAUUGAAAUCCUGCCUCACAAGACAGAUCUUUUAACAUGUUCCCGGACAGGUUUUUCUCAUUUAAAAAGUGCUUGGCUGUUACAUAAGUAAAAAAACUAAGUGUCUUGGCGUCCUGGUUGUGUGAAGUUGGCGCUUCCACAGGUUCAAAACCAACAGAGACUGCUUCUCCUGUCCUGGUUGUGUGAAGUUGGCGCUUCCACAGGUUCAAAACCAACAGAGACUGCUUCUCCUCAUCGCACUACAGCAGACCUUAC